CCCGCUGAAAUUAAGCAUAUCAAUAAGCGGAGGAAAAGAAACUAACAAGGAUUCCCUUAGUAACUGCGAGUGAAGAGGGAAAAGCUCAAAUUUAAAAUCUGGCAGCGCUUCGCUGUCCGAGUUGUAACCUAGAGAAGUGUAACCUGUGCUGGACCGUGUACAAGUCUCCUGGAAUGGAGCAUCAUAGAGGGUGAGAAUCCCGUCUUUGACAUGGACUACCAGUGCAUUGUGGUUGCGCUCUCAACGAGUCGAGUUGUUUGGGAAUGCAGCUCUAAAUGGGUGGUAAAUUCCAUCUAAAGCUAAAUAUUGGCGAGAGACCGAUAGCGAACAAGUACCGUGAGGGAAAGAUGAAAAGAACUUUGGAAAGAGAGUUAAACAGUAUGUGAAAUUGUUGAAAGGGAAACGUUUGAAGUCAGUCGCGUUGGUUGGGGAUCAGCCUGACAUUGUUGGGUGUACUUCCUGGUCGACGGGCCAACAUCAGUUUUGACUGCCAGAAAAAGGCCAAAGGAAUGUGGCACCUUCGGGUGUGUUAUAGCCUUUGGUCGUAUAUGGUGGUUGGGACUGAGGAAAGCAGCGCGCCGAAAGGCCGGGUUUCGACCACGUUCACGCUGAGGAUGUUGGCAUAAUGGCUUUAAGCGACCCGUCUUGAAACACGGACCAAGGAGUCUAACAUGCAUGCGAGUGUUUGGGUGGAAAACCCUUACGCGUAAUGAAAGUGAAAGUUGAGAUCCCUGUCGCGGGGAGCAUCGACGCCCGGACCAGAACUUUUGGGACGGAUCUGCGGUAGAGCACGUAUGUUGGGACCCGAAAGAUGGUGAACUAUGCCUGAAUAGGGUGAAGCCAGAGGAAACUCUGGUGGAGGCUCGUAGCGAUUCUGACGUGCA
rnacentral:rRNA from 1 species